rnacentral:rRNA from 1 species
AUUGAACGCUGGCGGCAGGCCUAACACAUGCAAGUCGAGCGAGCGGCGGACGGGUGUGUAUUGUCUGGGAAACUGCCUGAUGUAGGGGGAUAACUACUGGAAACGGUAGCUAAUACCGCAUCCCAUCUGUUGUGCCCAUAUGGGAUUAGCUUGUUGGUGGGGUAACGGCCCACCAAGGCGACGAUCCCUAGCUGGUCUGAGAGGAUGACCAGCCACAUUGGAACUGAGACACGGCCCAGACUCCUACGGGAGGCAGCAGUGGGGAAUCUUGCACAAUGGGCGAAAGCCUGAUGCAGCCAGGCCGCGUGUAUGAAGAAGGCCUUCGGGUUGUAAAGUACUUUCAGCGGGGAGGCGGUACCCGAAGAAGAAGCACCGGCUAACUCCGUGCCAGCAGCCGCGGUAAUAC